GUGCUCACUUGGGCAGCACACUUGCUAAAGUUGGAAUGAUACGGACAUAAUUCGCACGGCCCCUGUGCAAGGCUGACACGCAGAUUUGUGAAGGGUUCCGUAUUUUG